rnacentral:rRNA from 1 species
AGGCUGGCCGGAGAAGGUGAAAGCCCUGUAGACGAAAUCCAGAGUGGGAAUUAGUGGUAUCCUGAGUAAUACAUCACACGUGGAACGAUGUAUGAACCCGCGCGGACCACCGCGCAAGGCUAAAUACUAGUUGGCGACCGAUAGUGAACAAGUACCGCGAGGGAAAGGUGAAAAGAACCGCUGUGAGCGGAGUGAAAUAGAACCUGAAACCGUAUGUCUACAAAGUGUCAGAGCAGAGCAAUCUGCGAUGGCGUGCCUUUUGUUUAAUGAGUCUGCGAGUCAGUGUUUGUGGCAAGACUAAGGGCUUCCGGCCCGGAGUCGCAGCGAAAGCAAGUCCGAACAGGGCGCAAUAAGUCGCAGGUACUGGACCCGAAGCGGAGGUGACCUACCCUUGGCCAGGUUGAAGCAUGGGUAAAACCAUGUGGAGGACCGAACAGGUGAACGUUGAAAAGUUCUCUGAUGAGCUGAGGGUAGGAGUGAAAGGCUAAUCAAACCCCGUGAUAGCUGGUUCUCUUCGAAAUGCAUUUAGGUGCAGCGUCACGUGCUGAUGCGCGGGGGUAGAGCACUGACAAGGCUAGGGGGCACACCCGCUUACCAAACCUUAUCAAACUCCGAAUACCGUGCAAUGGAACGUGGCAGUGAGACAGUGGGGGAUAAGCUUCAUUGUCGAGAGGGAAACAACCCAGACCAGCAGCUAAGGUGCCUAAAUAACGCUCAGUGGAAAGGAUGUGGGAUUACACAGACAGUGAGGAUGUUGGCUUAGAAGCAGCCACCAUUUAAAAAAUGCGUAAUAGCUUACUCAUCGAGUGAUCCUGCGCCGAAAAUGAUUGGCGAUCAAGCGUUAUACCGAAGCUCUGGACUUUGCCGCAAGGCAGAGUGGUAGAAGAGCGUUGCAUGCGCGUCGAAGGGCGAUGGCGACUGACCCUGGAGCACAUGCAAGUGAGUAUGCAGACAUGAGUAACGUUAAGCCGGGUGAAAUCCCCGGCCGCCGUAAACCCGAGGUUUCCAGGGCAACGUGUUUCGUCCCUGGGUUAGCCGGGACCUAAGCCGAGGCCGAGAGGCGUAGGCGAUGGACAUCAGGUUAAUAAUCCUGAGCUCGCAACCCUUAAACUGGGGGGACGCAUGAGAAAAGAUGACUAGGUUAUUGAAUUCCGAGUUGAGUCUACGGACUCAGCGCAUCAUUGGAUCGAGUGCCAAGAAAAGCCCCAGCGUAUGCUAAGCGACCCGUACCGCAAACCGACACAGGUGGGUGGGUAGAAUAUACCAAGGCGUAAGAGUGAAACCUGGUUAAGGAACUCGGCAAAUUAGCCCCGUAACUUCGGAAGAAGGGGUGCCUGCAGCGAUGCAGGCCGCAGAGAAAUGGCCCAACCGACUGUUUAUCAAAAACACAGCACUCUGCAAAGACGCAAGUCGAAGUAUAGGGUGUGACACGUGACCAAUGCCGAAAGAUUAAGGCAAGGGGUUAGCCGCAAGGCGAAGCUCUAAACCCAAGUCCCGGUGAAUGUCGGCCGUAACUAUAACGGUCCUAAGGUAGCGAAAUUCCUUGUCGGGUAAGUUCCGACCUGCACGAAUCGUGAAACGAGUUGGGCACUGUCUCAACCAGGCGCUCAGUGAAAUUGUAGUGGCGGUGAAGAUGCCGCCUACCCGCAGAAGGACGGAAAGACCCUAUAGACCUUAACUGUAAGCUGUCAUUGUUUCUUCGGUUUUAAUGCUCAGAGUAAGUGGGAGACGCUGAAGACGCCCUUUAGGGGGCGUCCGAGUCAUCAAUGAGACACCACCCUUUGAAACUGGAGG